ensembl:lncRNA
CAAGAAGGAGAGUGAGUCCUGCUGAGGGAGUAAAAUCACCAGCGGCACGAUCCAGCAAUUGGUUCUUGCAGCUGAUGAAUACUAAAGAGUCCUUGGCGAUCUUGCACACGGUUGUGCUAGAAAGCAUCAAAGUGGCCUCAAGAAGGAGAUAUUUGUGGAAGAAGCCAUUCACAAGUAAAGAGAAGUGCCAGGGAAAGGAGCUUUCAGACCGGCUGCUGUGGGAGGUUCUUUGGAGAAUUUUUCCACCAACAGGACUGACAGCCUUUUGAAGCCAUGUGCUUUAUUUCAGAGACCCAGAGGCUGAAAGUUCCUAUUUAUCCACAAGGCAAGCAUUGGUUCUCCAUUGACUUUAUAAACAUUUGUGUGGUAACCAUUCAGCAUUUCUCAAGGUUGACUCAUUGGAGUGCAGGAGAAGCCGGAGACAGCCCUGAGACCAGAAGAGAUGAUGAACAGAGGUACAAGGUCAUGACAAAUGUAGUGUGGCUACACAGAAGUGGUGCAACUGGAGCUCCCUCAAGGCAUGAGAAGCGAGCAGAAGCAAGAGGAGCACAUAGUGACCUUCACCUUGUGUAAUGGAGGUACACGUCUGUUUGCCCUGCAGCAGUGAAGGCCACCCUUGAAUUACAGAUG